AGGAAGAAGAAGGCCAUUCACAAGACCACGACCACUGAUGGCAAGAUCACGACCUUGAAAAUGAGCUGCAAGAUAUUCUGGCAACACUUAUCAACCAACUGGAGCUAGUCAUCCAUGGUGGCAA